CAGUAGCCACGGUAAUACGGAGGGGGCUAGCGUUGUUCGGAAUUACUGGGCGUAAAGCGCACGUAGGCGGACAUUUAAGUCAGGGGUGAAAUCCCAGAGCUCAACUCUGGAACUGCCUUUGAUACUGGGUGUCUUGAGUGUGAUAGAGGUAUGUGGAACUCCGAGUGUAGAGGUGAAAUUCGUAGAUAUUCGGAAGAACACCAGUGGCGAAGGCGACAUACUGGAUCAUUACUGACGCUGAGGCUCGAAAGCGUGGGGAGCAAACAGGAUUAGAGACCCCCGUAGUCCCUGUCUCUUAUAC
rnacentral:rRNA from 1 species